rnacentral:rRNA from 1 species
AUUGAACGCUGGCGGCAGGCCUAACACAUGCAAGUCGAACGAGUGGCGGACGGGUGAGUAAUGUCUGGGAAACUGCAUGAUGGAGGGGGAUAACUACUGGAAACGGUAGCUAAUACCGCAUACCAUCGGAUGUGCCCAGCUGGGAUUAGCUAGUAGGUGGGGUCACGGCUCACAUAGGCGACGAUACCUAUCUGGUCUGCGAGGAUGACCAGCCACACGAGAAUGGAUACACGGUCCAGACUCCGACGGGAGGCAGCAGUGGGUAAUAUUGCACAAUGGGGGCAAGCCUGAUGCAGCCAUGCCGCGUGUAUGAAGAAGGCCUUCGGGUUGUAAAGUACUUUCAGCGGGGAGGCGUUACCCGCAGAAGAAGCACCGGCUAACUCCGUGCCAGCAGCCGCGGUAAUUC